rnacentral:rRNA from 1 species
GUCGAACGCUUCUUUCCUCCCGAGUGCUUGCACUCAAUUGGAAAGAGGAGUGGCGGACGGGUGAGUAACACGUGGGUAACCUACCCAUCAGAGGGGGAUAACACUUGGAAACAGGUGCUAAUACCGCAUAACAGUUUAUGCCGCAUGGCAUAAGAGUGAAAGGCGCUUUCGGGUGUCGCUGAUGGAUGGACCCGCGGUGCAUUAGCUAGUUGGUGAGGUAACGGCUCACCAAGGCCACGAUGCAUAGCCGACCUGAGAGGGUGAUCGGCCACACUGGGACUGAGACACGGCCCAGACUCCUACGGGAGGCAGCAGUAGGGAAUCUUCGGCAAUGGACGAAAGUCUGACCGAGCAACGCCGCGUGAGUGAAGAAGGUUUUCGGAUCGUAAAACUCUGUUGUUAGAGAAGAACAAGGACGUUAGUAACUGAACGUCCCCUGACGGUAUCUAACCAGAAAGCCACGGCUAACUACGUGCCAGCAGCCGCGGUAAUACGUAGGUGGCAAGCGUUGUCCGGAUUUAUUGGGCGUAAAGCGAGCGCAGGCGGUUUCUUAAGUCUGAUGUGAAAGCCCCCGGCUCAACCGGGGAGGGUCAUUGGAAACUGGGAGACUUGAGUGCAGAAGAGGAGAGUGGAAUUCCAUGUGUAGCG